CAAUAAUUUCUCGUUAGAGCAUAGUUACACGUCACAUUGAUGACUUAGGGGCUGUUUGGUUAGAUGUAGUUAAAGAAACAGUAUAGUUGGAAGUCCAUGUAAUUGUAAAUGCUGCAGUCAUAACUAUACGUAGUCUGAUUGGUUUUAUGCAGUUGCAACUGCUACAGUUAUAUUUCUUCUGUUUGGUAGUGUGCAGUUGAGAUUUGUAUUUGUAAUUUUGUCUAUUUUUAGAUAGAAAUGUGAGAUAUUUGUAUUUGUAAAUUUUGUCAAUUUUUAGAUAGAAAUGUGAGAUUAUCUCUUCUGAGCAUAAUGUAAUCAUAUUUUAAUUAUUAAUUAAGACUUUUAUAUCUAUAUAUAAUUUAUAUAUUAUAAAAUUAUGUAUAAAUUUAAUAAAUUUUAAAUGUAAAUAUAUUAUAAAUUUAGUCAAAAUAAAAAUUAAAAUAUUAUUAAACUAGCAGACUGAAAAAUAAAAACCGUAUGAAAAAAAUUUAUUGACUCUAACAAAUAUUACUAAAUCCUAUCUGAUUUCAUGAAUAUAUAUUUUUGAGAAAAAAAAUAAAAAAAGAAGCGUUGUCUAGUCAAAUAAUUAAGGCUGCUAAUGUAGAGGAAAAUGACAAAAUCAAAUUUCAAUUAAACUUGUUUAAAAAAUACCAAUAUUCUUUUCGUAAUUCAGUGUUAAUUAUUAAUACAAAGGAAAUACAUAGGAAAAGUUGGCCUGCAAAACUUACGGGUCAAUGGUCGCCAUGCAAUUUGCUUUUGGUUCUAGACUAGAAGAGAAAACUUAGCCACAUAAAGCGCGACAAUUCGGGCUCAAGAUAGAUUUUAGGGUGCGUUCGGUUUGCGCUAUCUUUUUAAGAUUCCUAGUAAUACAAUGAGGAUAAAAAAAUAUGACGAUGUUUGGCUAAAGACACUAAGUGAAAAUGAGAUUCAUUCCAAAGUACUAAUCUUAUUCUUUGCGGGAGAGUGGGUAUCCUCAUAUUAAUGAAUUGGGUAAUCAUAAUAUGUCUAAUCUCUUUUUUUCUCCCUACCCGCCGGCUAGUUAGUAUUAUUAUCCUUUACACUCUAACCUCAUAUCUCUCUCUAAAAUUAUCUUUUUCUCUCUAAACUUCAACUCUUUUUCUUUCUCUAAACUAAGCUCUCUCCCCCUCUUUUUCUAAAAUUUCAACUCCCUCACUCCCUUUAAUCUCGACUCUAUUUUUCUUCUUAUUCUUUAAUUAUGCUCUGUCUCUCUAACCUAUAUUUUCUUUCCAUUUUUUCUAAAAAGAUGUUGAAAUUUUUGGUAGCAUUAUCUAAAAUUAAUUAAAGAAAUAAAUAAAUUAAUUGUAUAUUUUUUGUAAACUUAAAUAACAUGACUAAAUAAUAUGACCGUGCGAACCAAACACAUGAAUACCACAUUCUUAGUAAUAGGAUGAAUAGGAAUAAAAUUAUCGGAUAUCUUUUUACUCCUACUAAUCUUUCAUAGUGCGAACCAAACGUGCCCUUAGUUUGAUAUUAUGUCUAAAUAUUCAUAGAAACUU
rnacentral:lncRNA from 1 species